ensembl:lncRNA PMS2P4 PMS1 homolog 2, mismatch repair system component pseudogene 4
GGAGUCGUGGAGGGAACUUUCCCAGGCCCCGAGGCGGAUCGGGUAUUGAGUCCAUGGAGCGAGCUGAGAGCUAGAGAACCUGCUAAGGCCAUCAAACCUAUCGAUCGGAAGUCAGUCCAUCAGAUUUGCUCUGGGCCGGUGGUACUGAGUCUAAGCACUGCGGUGAAGGAGUUAGUAGAAAACAGUCUGGAUGCUGGUGCCACCAAUAUUGCGAUGUCACCAUUUCUACCUGCCACGCAUCGGCGAAGGUUGGGACUCGACUGGUGUUUGAUCACGAUGGGAAAAUCAUCCAGAAAACCCCCUACCCCCACCCCAGAGGGACCACAGUCAGCGUGAAGCAGUUAUUUUCUACACUACCUGUGCACCAUAAGGAAUUUCAAAGGAAUAUUAAGAAGACGUGCCUGUUUCCCCUUCGCCUUCUGCCGUGAUUGUCAGUUUCCUGAGGCCUCCCCAGCCAUGCUUCCUGUACAGCCUGCAGAACUGUGAGUCAAUUAAACCUCUUUUCUUCAUAAA